UACGUAGGCAGCGAGCGUUGUUCGGAGUUACUGGGCGUAAAGAGUGCGUAGGCGGUUUUCUAAGUUUGGUGUGAAAUCUCCCGGCUUAACUGGGAGGUGCGCCGAAAACUGGAAGGCUUGAGUAUGGGAGAGGUAAGCGGAAUUACCUGGUGUAGCGGUGAAAUGCGUAGAUAUCCGGAGGAACACCGGUGGCGAAGGCGGCUUCCUGGACCGACACUGACGCUGAGGCGCGAA
rnacentral:rRNA from 1 species